rnacentral:rRNA from 1 species
GACGAACGCUGGCGGCGUGCUUAACACAUGCAAGUCGAACGGAAAGGCCCCCACUUUUUUGGUGGGGGUGCUCGAGUGGCGAACGGGUGAGUAACACGUGGGUGAUCUGCCCUGUACUUCGGGAUAAGCUUGGGAAACUGGGUCUAAUACCGGAUAGGACCAUGGUUUAGUGUCUCAUGGUGGAAAAAUUAUUGUUUUGGUGCAGGAUGAGCUCGCGGCCUAUCAGCUUGUUGGUGGGGUAAUGGCCUACCAAGGCGUCGACGGGUAGCCGGCCUGAGAGGGUGGACGGCCACAUUGGGACUGAGAUACGGCCCAGACUCCUACGGGAGGCAGCAGUGGGGAAUAUUGCACAAUGGGCGCAAGCCUGAUGCAGCGACGCCGCGUGGGGGAUGACGGCCCUCGGGUUGUAAACUCCUUUCGUUAGGGACGAAGCCACACCUUUUUUUGGGUGUGGUGACGGUACCUUUGUUAAGAAGCACCGGCUAACUACGUGCCAGCAGCCGCGGUAAUACGUAGGGUGCGAGCGUUGUCCGGAAUUACUGGGCGUAAAGAGCUCGUAGGUGGUUUGUUGCGUCGUCUGUGAAAUUCCGGGGCUUAACUUCGGGGUGGCAGGCGAUACGGGCAUAACUAGAGUGCUGUAGGGGAGACUGGAAUUCCUGGUAUAGCGGUGGAAUGCGCAGAUAUCAGGAGGAACACCGAUGGCGAAGGCAGGUCUCUGGGCAGUAACUGACGCUGAGGAGCGAAAGCAUGGGGAGCGAACAGG